rnacentral:rRNA from 1 species
ACUCGGAGGAAGGUGGGGAUGACGUCAAGUCAUCAUGCCCCUUAUGUCCAGGGCUUCACGCAUGCUACAAUGGCCGGUACAAAGGGCUGCGAUCCCGUGAGGGGGAGCGAAUCCCAAAAAGCCGGUCUCAGUUCGGAUUGGGGUCUGCAACUCGACCCCAUGAAGUCGGAGUCGCUAGUAAUCGCAGAUCAGCAACGCUGCGGUGAAUACGUUCCCGGGCCUUGUACACCGCCCGUCACGUCACGAAAGUCGGCAACACCCGAAGCCGGUGGCCCAACCCUUGUGGAGGGAGCCGUCGAAGGUGGGGCUGGCGAUUGGGACGAAGUCGUAACAAGGUAGCCGUACCGGAAGGUGCGGCUGGAUCACCUCCUUUCUAAGG